AUCAAAUUUUUAGUUAAUAUAAAAAAUUGAAACGAUACAGAGAAGAUUAGUAUGGCUCCUGCGCAAGGAUGAUAUGCACAAAUCGAGAAAUUGUCCAAAUUUUA